rnacentral:lncRNA from 1 species
UAGCAAUUAGACUCCUUUUAUCAAAGUAUUCGUAUGCCGGCGUGCAAGAAAAGCUUUACAAGGAUUCAAACAAAACUAUAGAUUGAGAUAUGCGGGCAUUUUUUCCUCGUUAAAUCAAAGCCGGCCACGUUCAUUGCAGUGAUCGUAACAUGAAUGUCUUAUUAUAAGUGUUUUCUAUGUGUUAAUGUUAUGACUCCAUACAGCAACCUCUCCGUAAUUACUUCACUUAAUCCGUGUCCCUUUUUG